ACCUGGCUGGCUUAGUUGGUAAAGCAAGUGACUCUUGAUCUUGGGGUUGUGAGUUUGAGCCCCACAUUAGGUA
rnacentral:tRNA from 1 species